AGCCAGGCCGCCAGCGCCUCUCAGCUUCCCACGCAGCGCAGCCGCCUCAGCCAGAUGUCGUGGCCGUGGAGCUUGCCGGUGCCUAUGGUGGAGUGGUGCCUCGCCAUGCUCGUCUCCCACAUCCAAAGAGAGUAGUUCGGUGGCAUGGAGCACAAGCAAGGGAAAGCCCGGCCGGCGAGGAGACGACGCGCUUCCGGCCUACACGCAAUGAGCCCGUGCAACCAGCUGCUGCCUCUAUGUCGUCGAGCGCCCACGCAGGAGAACAAGCGGCCACCAAAUCCAACGCUGUGAAGCUGUGGUGGCGUGAAGGGAAAUGGAGCAACUACUAGGCAAGGAUGGGGGAUCUGCUUCAGAAAGAGCCUACAGUUCAUUUUUGAAGGAUGGGUAUACUGCAAAGUCUAAACAUGGCUAUCGGCACAAACAUCUACUGGCUACAACCAGCAAACAUGACGGCAUCUAACUUUUGUUUUCAGAACACAUAUGGUUGUUGUCUUUUGAACAUUGUAUGGCUAUUUAUUGCCUUGUCUUUCGAACAACAUAAUCAUGGCAGAAUAAAGAUGACUUAUGUGUAGAAAUUAGAAUGAUCAUGGACUUUCAGAGGGCAAAGACAUUUCUAUAUUGCCCCAUGCUGAAAACUUUGUA